UUUUUUUUGUAUUGGUGUUCAAUUUACUAACAUACAGAAUAAUACCCAGUGCCCGUCACCCCAUUCACUCCCACACCCCGCCCUCCUCCCCUUCUACCACCCCUAGUUCGUUUCCCAGAGUUAGCAGUCUUUACGUUUCUGUCUCCCUUUCUGAUAUUUCCCACACAUUUCUUCUCCCUUCCCUUAUUUCCCUUUCACUAUUAUUUAUAUUUCCCAAAUGAAUGAGAACAUUAUAUGUUUGUCCUUCUCCGACUGACUUACUUCACUCAGCAUAAUACCCUCCAGUUCCAUCCACGUUGAAGCAAAUGGUGGGUAUUUGUCAUUUCUAAUAGCUGAGUAAUAUUCCAUUGUAUACAUAAACCACAUCUUCUUUAUCCAUUCAUCUUUCGUUGGACCACCGAGGCUCCUUCCACAGUUUGGGCUAUCGUGGCCAUUGCUGCUGAAACAUCGGGGUGCAGGUGUCCCGGCGUUUCAUUGCAUUUGUAUCUUUGGGGUAAAUCCCCAACAGUGCAAUUGCUGGGUCGUAGGGCAGGUAUAUUUUUAACUGUUUGAGGAACCUCCACACAGUUUUCCAGAGUGGCUGCACCAGUUCACAUUCCCACCAACAGUGUAAGAGGGUUCCCUUUUCUCCGCAUCCUCUCCAACAUUUGUUGUUUCCUGCCUUGUUAAUUUUCCCCAUUCUCACUGGUGUGAGGUGUAUGUCAUUGUAGUUUUGAUUUGUAUUUCCCUGAUGGCAAGUGAUGCAGAGCAUUUUCUCAUGUGCAUGUUGGCCAUGUCUAUGUCUUCCCUCUGAGAUUUCUGUUCAUGUCUUUUGCCCAUUUCUGAUUGGAUUGUUUGUUUCUUUGGUGUUGAGUUAAUAAGUUUUUAUAGAUCUUGGAAACUAGCCCUUUUAUCUGAUAUGUCAUUUGCAAAUAUCUUCUUCCCAUUCUGUAGGUGUCUUUGAGUUUUGUUGACUGUAUCCUUUGCUGUGCAAAAGCUUCUUAUCUUGAUGAGUCCCAAUAGUUCAUUUUUGCUUUUGUUUCUUUUGCCUUUGUGGAUGUAUCUUGCAAGAAGUUACUAUGGCCGAGUUCAAAAAGGGUGUUGCCUGUGUUCUUCUCUAGGAUUUUGAUGGAAUCUUGUCUCACAUUUAGAUCUUUCAUCCAUUUUGAGUUUAUCUUUGUGUAUGGUGAAAGAGAGUGGUCUAGUUUCAUUCUUCUGCAUGUGGAUGUCCAAUUUUCCCAGCACCAUUUAUUGAAGAGACUGUCUUUCUUCCAAUGGAUAGUCUUUCCUCCUUUAUCGAAUAUUAGUUGCCCUAAAGUUCAGGUCCACUUCUGGAUUCUCUAUUCUGUUCCACUGAUCUAUGUGUCUGUUUUUGUGCCAGACCACACUGUCUUGAUGACCACAGCUUUGUAGUACAACCUGAAUCUGGCAUUGUGAUGCCCCCAGAUAUGGUUUUCUUUUUUAAAAUUCCCCUGGCUAUUCGGGGUCUUUCUGAUUCCACACAAAUCUUAAAUAAUUUGUUCUAACUCUCUGAAGAAAGUCCAUGGUAUUUUGAUAGGGAUUGCAUUAAACGUGUAGAUUGCCUGGUAACAUUGACAUUUUCACAAUAUUAAUUCUGCCAAUCCAUGAGCAGGAAUAUUUUCCAUCUCUUUGUGUCUUCCUCAAUUUCUUUAGAAGUGUUCUAUAGUUUUGUGGUAUAGAUCCUUUACAUCUUUGGUGAGGUUUAUUCCUAGGUAUCUUAGGCUUUUGGGUGCAUUGUAAAUGGGAUUGACUCCUUAAUUUCUCUUUCUUCAGUCUCAUUGUUAGUGUAUAGAAAUGCCACGACUUCUGGGCAUUGAUUUUGUAUCCUGCCACGCUACGAAUUGCUGUAUGAGUUCUAGCAAUCUUGGGGUGGAGACUUUUGGGUUUUCUAUGUAGAGUAUCAGUCAUCGGCAAGAGGGAGAGUUUGACUUCUUCUUGCCAAUUUGAAUGCCUUAAUGUCUUUUUGUUGUCUGAUUGCUGAGGCUAGGACUUCCAGUACUAUGUUGAAUAGCAGUGGGAGAGUGGACAUCCGUCUUGUUCCUGAUCUUAGGGAAAGGCUCCCAGUGCUUCCCGUUGAGAAUGAUAUUUUGCUGUGGGCUUUUCAUAGAUGGCUUUUAAGAUGUCGAGGAAUGUUCCCUCUAUCCCACGUCUGAAGAGUUUUAAUCAGGAAUGGAUGCUGUAUUUGUCAAAAUGCUUUCCUGCAUCCAAUGAGAGGAUCAUAUGGUUCUUGGUUUUCUCUUGCUGAUAUGAUGAAUCACAUUGAUUGUUUUACGGGUGUUGAACCGCCUUGUGUCCCAGGAUAAAUCCUACUUGGUCACGGUGAAUAAUUUUCUUAUGUACUGUUGGAUCCUAUUGGCCAGUAUCUUGUUGAGAAUUUUUGCAUCCAUGUUCAUCAGGAUAUUGGUCUGUAAUUCCCUUUUUGGCGGGGGUCUUGUCUGGCUUUGGAAUUAAGGUGAUGCUGGCUUCAUAGAACGAUUGGAAGUACUCCAUCUCUUUCUAUCUUUCCAAACAGCUUUAGGAGAAUAGGUAUGAUUUCUUCUUUAAACGUUUGAUAAAUUCUCCUGGGAAGCCAUCUGGCCUGGACUCUUGUGUCUUGGGAGGUUUUUGAUGACUGCUUCAAUUUCCUCCCUGGUUAUUGGCCUGUUC
rnacentral:lncRNA from 1 species